CUUUCCGCCGCCCCUCACCCAUUUUUGAUGUUCUUCCUCUAAAUCUUUCAAGAUUUUCACUUGUUUUCCCUUGGUUUUGAAGAUUUAAGCUUUUGAAACAAGUUUUGGAGCUUGGAAGUCUUGGAGCUAAAUCCCUCCAUUUUCCGAGCUAGGGUCGUUCUUCCUCUCGAUCUUCAAGAGGCAAGCUUCGAUCUAUGCUUCUUUUAUGUUUUAUGAAAGUUUUAUGCAAGUUGAUGGGGUAGAAUGCAUGUUUAGGCUUGUUGUUAGGUUUAUGGGUUUAUGUUGUGAUUUGAACAAUGUAUGUUGGAAAUGUGUUGUUUGAAGUGUUGUAGUUGGGGUAUAUUAUAGUUUGAGACCCCUAGGUGUGAUGUAUAAUGUGUAUGCAUGUGUAGAAACAAGUUUAUGCAUGUUUUGAGGCGUUUUGGAGGCUGUGGACACAAGGGAGCCAAGUUUCUGCCCUUCGGCAGAAACUCAGGUUCGGCCGCCGAAGUAACUUUCGGCCGCCGAACCCCCUUGUGGAGGCAGUUUCGGCUGCCGAAGCCUGCCCCCGAAACUCAAGUUUCGUCUCUGUCUGGGAGGUUCGGCCGCCGAAAGUGCCGCCGAACCUGCAUGACUUUCGGCUGCAGAGGGACUUUCGGCCGCCGAACCUGCCGCCGAAAGUGCCCUGUUUAGCCGUUUCUUGCAUGAUUUCAUGAGAGGUUUUCAGGAUGUUUUAGGGGGUCUUUGGGGAGUAUUUUGGAGUCAUGUUCAUGUAUGUUUGGUGCCUCAUUUGAGUCCACCUGUGUAGGUUCGGACCCGAGGAACCGAGACCCCCGGUUGUGAGAUAGUCGUUCAGAGUUCGUUGUUAAAGCUUCAGUUACCAGGUGAGUGGAACAACCCCUUAAGCUUUAAAGUAAAUGAAUAAAUGAAUGAAUCAUAAAGCAUUGCCCAUGCAUCAUUAUGCCAUGCAAUAUUAGGUUGUUUGCAUUAGAAUUCACGAAUAUGUUGCAUUGCAUACUUUGUUGUUGAUGUGGAUGAAUGUUGAAUGAUCCAUUAGCCCUUGUAUGUCAUGAUAGCCUAUGUGAGUCCAGGUGUGCCUGCUACGGCUCUACGCCCGUGGCACUAUGAC
rnacentral:lncRNA from 1 species